GUGCACUUAGCUCAGUGGUUAGAGCAUCACUCUUGAAGGUUGAGGUCGCAGGUUCAAUUCCUGCAGGGCACA
rnacentral:tRNA from 1 species